rnacentral:rRNA from 1 species
AGGACGAACGCUGGCGGCGUGCCUAAUACAUGCAAGUCGAGCGGACCGACGGGAGCUUGCUCCCUUAGGUCAGCGGCGGACGGGUGAGUAACACGUGGGUAACCUGCCUGUAAGACUGGGAUAACUCCGGGAAACCGGGGCUAAUACCGGAUGCUUGAUUGAACCGCAUGGUUCAAUCAUAAAAGGUGGCUUUUAGCUACCACUUGCAGAUGGACCCGCGGCGCAUUAGCUAGUUGGUGAGGUAACGGCUCACCAAGGCGACGAUGCGUAGCCGACCUGAGAGGGUGAUCGGCCACACUGGGACUGAGACACGGCCCAGACUCCUACGGGAGGCAGCAGUAGGGAAUCUUCCGCAAUGGACGAAAGUCUGACGGAGCAACGCCGCGUGAGUGAUGAAGGUUUUCGGAUCGUAAAACUCUGUUGUUAGGGAAGAACAAGUACCGUUCGAAUAGGGCGGUACCUUGACGGUACCUAACCAGAAAGCCACGGCUAACUACGUGCCAGCAGCCGCGGUAAUACGUAGGUGGCAAGCGUUGUCCGGAAUUAUUGGGCGUAAAGCGCGCGCAGGCGGUUUCUUAAGUCUGAUGUGAAAGCCCCCGGCUCAACCGGGGAGGGUCAUUGGAAACUGGGGAACUUGAGUGCAGAAGAGGAGAGUGGAAUUCCACGUGUAGCGGUGAAAUGCGUAGAGAUGUGGAGGAACACCAGUGGCGAAGGCGACUCUCUGGUCUGUAACUGACGCU